rnacentral:rRNA from 1 species
UACGAAGGGGGCUAGCGUUGCUCGGAAUUACUGGGCGUAAAGCGCACGUAGGCGGCUUUCUAAGUCGGGGGUGAAAUCCUGGAGCUCAACUCCAGAACUGCCUUCAAUACUGGAGAGCUCGAGUCCGGGAGAGGUGAGUGGAACUGCGAGUGUAGAGGUGAAAUUCGUAGAUAUUCGCAAGAACACCAGUGGCGAAGGCGGCUCACUGGCCCGGUACUGACGCUGAGGUGCGAAAGCGUGGGGAGCAAACAGG